rnacentral:lncRNA from 10 species
UUUAAAUCAUUUUAUUGAAGAUCUUCUUGUCUCUCUACCUAUGUUACAACCCCCUAGAGGAUGGACGUUACUCCAAAUACCCUUUCGUAGUCUCAGAAACAUCGUACUGAACCUGAUAAAUACAUGCUGAAAUCAUGAAUGAAAAGAUUUGCCACUUGCAUCCACAUGGGGAAAUGGGUCAUUACUCUGUGGCUACAAGAAAAAUGUUAAAUCUGUGGCUUAUGUUCUGUUUCUACCGGACAGUGCUCAAGUGACCAACUUCAGCUCCCUACACUAGGGGGCAAAGCCCAGGUUCACUGCCACAGGUCAUGAGGUUGAUGGUAUUCUAGAAGCAGAUCCACCAAGUCCUAUGGAAAAGCUCCAUGUAGCCUCCUGAUAACAGUGACCAGGACCAUCAGGAAGGCUGUCCUGUUGGAAACCACCAUGGAUGAGCCCAGGAUGGGAACAGUUUUCAGAAUGCAGGGAUUCUAAGACUCUCAUCACCCCCUGUGGUGGGUGCCGUGGGAUGCCACCAAGAUCCCACUUCAGAGCGGAGGCAUGGGAUCUUCUAGUCAUCCCCCUGCUGAGACUCGAGGCUGAGUUCCACCCGGGGAAUCAAUCCUGGCCAAAGAGAAGUGAGACCUUUCCAACCUGGACUUGGAUCUAACUCCUGGGCUUCAGGGUAAGACUCAGCUCCUCUCAACAACCUGUCCUACUCCCCGGACUCUGAGCCUAGAGACAGCAACAGGAUUUCUUAACGCAGCUCCUGAGCAUGAGCCUCCACUGAAGUCAACCGGUUUCCCAGUCUGUGCUUGGGACUGGGUUUUACAGUCCCAAACUGUGCCCUGUUUACCUCCUCCUGUCCUUAAUUUCCUUUUUUUUUUUUUUUUUUUAGACAGAGUCUUGCUCUGUCACCCAGGCUGGAGUGCAAUGGUGCAUUCUCGGCUCACUGCAACCUCAGCUCCCCCAGGUUCAAGCGAUUCUCCUGCCUCAGCCUCCCGAGUAGCUGAGAUUACAGGCAUGUGCCAGCAUGCCCUGCUAAUUUUUGUAUUUUGGUAGAGACGGGGUUUCGCCAUGUUGGCCAGGCUGCUCUCGAGCUCCUGACCUCAGGUGAUCUGCCCGCCUCAGCCUCCCAAAGUGCUGGGAUUACAGGUGUGAGACACCACGCCCAGCCCUGUCCUUACUUUCAAAAUAAAGUAUCUGAUGGUGAU